CAACAUGACUUCAGCUGGCUUGUAAAAUUUCUAAAUAUGUAAUCGUUGCCCUUGCUAGCUGGUAGGGACACCGCAGUGUGUUCAGCGAAAAGGAACUACAGAAGCGAUGGAAUCAUAAAGAUGCGUGUACCUGCCUCAUACAUGUGUGCAAGGGUUUCCCUCUCUGAAAAUUUGCCUGGUUGUAGGCUGUAAUUUUGCUAGAAUGAAGCAAAUUGAUAUAAAUGUGGCUUUGAAUGAAAAUCCCAGCUUAUGCAAACAAGUAUUCUCCUUUUUAAAGGCACCAUGCUACACCCUGUCACAUACUUGAUGUCUUCACCAGAAGUUAGCGCUUUGAGGACAGAGAUUGUGUCUCAUCUUCUCCAUGGACGUUCAGGACUAGUAUUGCGUGGGAAAGGGAAUUGACAAGUUUUGAAUGAACGUGAAAUGAAUUAGAUAAAAUUUAGACUUAAAGUCAUAGCGGAAUCAUCAUCAAGAAUCAAGCUUCUCCCAGGUUUUUGGGCUCUUUCAGUAUCAGUGAAGGUGACCUGGUAUGAAUUGUGGGGUUUUUUUUUUUUCACAUUUAACUGAUUUAUUUAAUUGAUUUAGUUGAGUCUUAAAAACCUACGAUCAAAAUGUUACUUGCAUUUGCUCAUACUUCCUGUAGAUUAUUCCUUUUUAAAAAAAAAUUUUAUUUUAAACUGGAGCAGCGUUG